UACGGGGGGGGCAAGCGUUGUUCGGAAUUACUGGGCGUAAAGGGCUCGUAGGCGGCCAACUAAGUCAGAUGUGAAAUCCCCAGGCUCAACCUGGGAACUGCGUCUGAUACUGGAUGGCUUGAAUCCGGGAGAGGGAUGCAGAAUUCCAGGUGUAGCGGUGAAAUGCGUAGAUAUCUGGAGGAAUACCGGUGGCGAAGGCGGCAUCCUGGACCGGCAUUGACGCUGAGGAGCGAAAGCCAGGGGAGCAAACGGG
rnacentral:rRNA from 1 species